rnacentral:rRNA from 1 species
GAACGCUGGCGGCAGGCCUAACACAUGCAAGUCGAGCGGUAGAGAGGAGCUUGCUUCUCUUGAGAGCGGCGGACGGGUGAGUAAUGCCUAGGAAUCUGCCUAGUGGUGGGGGAUAACGUUCGGAAACGGACGCUAAUACCGCAUACGUCCUACGGGAGAAAGCGGGGGAUCUUCGGACCUCGCGCCAUUAGAUGAGCCUAGGUCGGAUUAGCUAGUUGGUGAGGUAAUGGCUCACCAAGGCGACGAUCCGUAACUGGUCUGAGAGGAUGAUCAGUCACACUGGAACUGAGACACGGUCCAGACUCCUACGGGAGGCAGCAGUGGGGAAUAUUGGACAAUGGGCGAAAGCCUGAUCCAGCCAUGCCGCGUGUGUGAAGAAGGUCUUCGGAUUGUAAAGCACUUUAAGUUGGGAGGAAGGGUUGUAGAUUAAUACUCUGCAAUUUUGACGUUACCGACAGAAUAAGCACCGGCUAACUUCGUGCCAGCAGCCGCGGUAAUACGAAGGGUGCAAGCGUUAAUCGGAAUUACUGGCGUAAAGCGCGCGUAGGUGGUUCG